rnacentral:rRNA from 1 species
UACAGAGGGUGCAAGCGUUAAUCGGAAUUACUGGGCGUAAAGCGCGCGUAGGUGGUUCGUUAAGUUGGAUGUGAAAUCCCCGGGCUCAACCUGGGAACUGCAUUCAAAACUGUCGAGCUAGAGUAUGGUAGAGGGUGGUGGAAUUUCCUGUGUAGCGGUGAAAUGCGUAGAUAUAGGAAGGAACACCAGUGGCGAAGGCGACCACCUGGACUGAUACUGACACUGAGGUGCGAAAGCGUGGGGAGCAAACGGG